rnacentral:snoRNA from 1 species
AUGCAUCUCUGACAGACCUGGAGCAGUUAUUGCCUGCUGCUAAAGUUUCCAUUACAGAUGCAAGAAAAAAAGUGCUUGCGUUUUCUGUCUGAUUAUGGUAGCCAAGAUUGAAUAGGUGAAUACAGGA